rnacentral:rRNA from 1 species
AUUGAACGCUGGCGGCAGGCCUAACACAUGCCAGUCGAGCGGAUGAAGGGAGCUUGCUCCUGGAUUCAGCGGCGGACGGGUGAGUAAUGCCUAGGAAUCUGCCUGGUAGUGGGGGAUAACGUCCGGAAACGGGCGCUAAUACCGCAUACGUCCUGAGGGAGAAAGUGGGGGAUCUUCGGACCUCACGCUAUCAGAUGAGCCUAGGUCGGAUUAGCUAGUUGGUGGGGUAAAGGCCUACCAAGGCGACGAUCCGUAACUGGUCUGAGAGGAUGAUCAGUCACACUGGAACUGGGACACGGUCCAACCUCCUCCGGGAGGCAACAGAGGGGAAUAUUGGACAAUGGGCGAAAGCCUGAUCCAGCCAUGCCGCGUGUGUGAAGAAGGUCUUCGGAUUGUAAAGCACUUUAAGUUGGGAGGAAGGGCAGUAAGUUAAUACCUUGCUGUUUUGACGUUACCAACAGAAUAAGCACCGGCUAACUUCGUG